UACGUAGGUGGCAAGCGUUGUCCGGAAUUAUUGGGCGUAAAGAGCGUGUAGGUGGCUAUGCAAGUUGGGUGUGAAAGCCCUCGGCUCAACCGAGGAAGUGCAUCCAAAACUACGUAGCUGGAGGACGGUAGAGGGAGGUGGAAUUCCUAGUGUAGAGGUGAAAUUCGUAGAUAUUAGGAGGAAUACCGGUGGCGAAGGCGGCCUCCUGGGCCGUUCCUGACACUGAGACGCGAAAGCGUGGGUAGCAAACAGG
rnacentral:misc_RNA from 1 species